rnacentral:lncRNA from 1 species
AGAAGACAGUACCUGGCAACAGAAGAGAAUUCCUGGCUAAAGAUCAGUGUGCCUAAUACGAAGAAAAAGGACAUUGGGUCAGGGACUGCCCCAGAAAGAACAAGAGGGGACACUGGAGAGCCUCUUGGUGCUGGCUAUGCACAGAGAUAGAAGGGAAGCCCGCCCAGUUGUUAUGUGGAUACAGGGACCCAAUGCUCUGUGCUCCUAUGCUCCAGUGGGCCAGUAUCCAAAGACCUUGGGUACAGGGGCCUGCUGGCAACAAACAAUACUUAUGGACUGCCCGAAGAACAGUGGACCUUGGCGUGGGCCGGGUAACCCACUAGUUCAUAGUCAUCCCUGACUGCCCCCAUCCCUUGCUCAUGAGA